CGAACGCUGGCGGCGCGCUUAAUACAUGCAAGUCGAACGAGAAGCCAGAGGCUUGCUCUGGUGGAAAGUGGCGAACGGGUGAGUAACACGUGAGAAACCUGCCCCAAAGAUUGGGAUAAGCCUUGGAAACGAGGUCUAAUACCAAAUACCUUCCUUUUAACACAUGUUAAAAAGAGAAAUGCUCCGGCGCUUUGGGAUGGUCUCGCGAUCUAUCAGCUUGUUGGUGAGGUAACGGCUCACCAAGGCAUCGACGGAUAGCUGGUCUGAGAGGAUGUCCAGCCACAUUGGAACUGAGACACGGUCCAAACUCCUACGGGAGGCAGCAGUAGGGAAUCUUGCACAAUGAGGGAAACCUUGAUGCAGCGACGCCGCGUGCGGGACGAAGGCCCUAGGGUUGUAAACCGCUUUCAGUAGGGACGAAAGUGACGGUACCUACAGAAGAAGCCCCGGCCAACUAUGUG
rnacentral:rRNA from 1 species